rnacentral:rRNA from 1 species
GAGUUUGAUCCUGGCUCAGAGCGAACGCUGGCGGCAGGCCUAACACAUGCAAGUCGAGCGCCGUAGCAAUACGGAGCGGCAGACGGGAGAGUAACACGUGGGAACGUGCCCUUUGGUUCGGAAUAACUCAGGGAAACUUGAGCUAAUACCGGAUAAGCCCUUACGGGGAAAGAUUUAUUGCCAUUGGAGUGGCCCGCGUCGGAUUAGCUAGUUGGUGAGGUAAUGGCUCACCAAGGCGACGAUCCGUAGCUGGUCUGAGAGGAUGACCAGCCUCACUGGGACUGAGACACGGCCCAGACUCCUACGGGAGGCAGUAGUGGGGAAUAUUGGACAAUGGGCGCAAGCCUGAUCCAGCCAUGCCGCGUGGAUGAUGAAGGCCCUAGGGUUGUAAAGUCCUUUUAACGGGGAAGAUAAUGACGGUACCCGUAGAAUAAGCCCCGGCUAACUUCGUG